UAAUGCUUCUGGAAUGAUUCAUAAAUUGUAUCAUUGUGAUCUCCAGCUCACAUUCCUUAUCUUUUUUACUACUGUUUGUUAUGAGUGAAUUGUAAGCACUCUUACUCUGUGCUAGAUUUGAUUUAAAAGCUAUAUUCUUAGUACAAUAUGUAAUAGAUAUAAUUCAAAUAAUAUUAAUAAAUCUUUCACAUUUAUUUUGUUUUUACCAGAAACUAAUUUCAUUGCAAGUACUAUAUAUAUAAUUAAUAAUCUUUACUCAGGAAAGAAUUAAUUACACAUAUUUGUGCCAUUGAUAUGGCUAUAAGACUAAAUUAAAAGAGUGAAAAAAAAUAUAGAACAUGUUUGGGUAUUAUUUAGGAAUUAUUAGUAUAAAAUAUAUGUAAUUAUCAUCUAAUAUAUUUCAGUGAUAGUUAAUUAAAUCAGUUUAUAUAAUGAGUUUUGAGAAAACUACCAUUUGUGUUUGUGAAAUUAAAGGAGGGUUAUCUAUAUAUAUGUAAGUAUACAACACUAGUUCAAUCUUUCUUCAUAAAUAUAUUUAAAACAGGAACAUUUAAGUUAAUUUUAGUAUUUAUCUUUUAUUUAAGAUUAUUCUCAAUUGAAAACAUAUCUAUUUAUCCUUCUUCUUUGAAUUAGAA
rnacentral:misc_RNA from 1 species